rnacentral:rRNA from 1 species
CACGUAGGGCGCAAGCGUUGUCCGGAAUUAUUGGGCGUAAAGAGCUCGUAGGCGGUCUGUUACGUCUGCUGUGAAAACCCAGGGCUUAACCCUGGGCUUGCAGUGGAUACGGGCAGACUAGAGGCAGGUAGGGGAGAAUGGAAUUCCCGGUGUAGCGGUGAAAUGCGCAGAUAUCGGGAGGAACACCGGUGGCGAAGGCGGGUCUCUGGGCAGUAACUGACGCUGAGGAGCGAAAGCGUGGGGAGCGAACAGG